UUCCGGGGGUGGGCGUGGGGUGUCGUCGGCCGUCUCGGGGACGGCCGGUUCCGAUGUGUCGCCGUCCGACGUCUGCGCUCCGGGGAC
rnacentral:tRNA from 1 species